UACGGAGGGUGCAAGCGUUGUUCGGAUUUACUGGGCGUAAAGGGCGCGCAGGCGGCUAUCCAAGUCAGGCGUGAAAGCCCCGGGCUUAACCUGGGAACUGCGUCUGGGACUGGGUGGCUAGAGUUCGGGAGAGGAGAGUGGAAUUCCCAGUGUAGAGGUGAAAUUCGUAGAUAUUGGGAAGAACACCGGUGGCGAAGGCGGCUCUCUGGACCGAGACUGACGCUGAGGCGCGAAAGCGUGGGGAGCAAACAGG
rnacentral:rRNA from 1 species